CGUAAYUUAGGCAUAUUACUAAGCGGAGGAAAAGAAACUAACAAGGAUUCCCCCAGUAGCGGCGAGCGAACAGGGAAGAGUCCAGCACCGAACCCCGCAGGCUGCCGCCUGUCGUGGCAUGUGGUGUUUGGGAGGGUCCACUACCCCGACGCCUCGCGCCGAGUCCAAGUCCAACUUGAAUGAGGCCACGGCCCGUAGAGGGUGCCAGGCCCGUAGCGGCCGGUGCGAGCGUCGGCGGGACCUCUCCUUCGAGUCGGGUUGCUUGAGAGUGCAGCUCCAAGUGGGUGGUAAACUCCAUCUGAGACUAAAUAUGACCACGAGACCGAUAGCGAACAAGUACCGUGAGGGAAAGUUGAAAAGAACUUUGAAGAGAGAGUUCAAAAGUACGUGAAACCGUUCUGGGGUAAACGUGAGAAGUCCGAAAGGUCGAACGGGUGAGAUUCACGCCCAUCCGGCCACUGGCCCCCGCCCUCGGCAGAUGGGGCCGGCCGCCCGCGCGGAGCAAUCCGCGGCGGGGUCGUGUCCGGUUGCCUUUCCACUCGCCGCGGGGUGGGGCCGUUCCAGUGCGCGGUGGGCCGCACUUCUCCCCUAGUAGGACGUCGCGACCCGCUGGGUGCCGGCCUACGGCCCGGGUGCGCAGCCUGUCCUUCCGCGGGCCUCGGUUCGCGUCUGUUGGGCAGAGCCCCGGUGUCCCGGCUGGCUGCUCGGCGGUAUAUCUGGAGGAGUCGAUUCGCCCUUCGGGGCGCCCGGGCUCCCGGCAAGCGCGCGCGGUUCUUCCCGGAUGACGGACCUACCUGGCCCGGCCCCGGACCCGCGCCGCUGUUGGCUCGGGAUGCUCUCGGGCGGAAUAAUCGCUCCCGUCAGCGGCGCUUCAGCUUUGGACAAUUUCACGACCCGUCUUGAAACACGGACCAAGGAGUCUAACAUGUGCGCGAGUCAUUGGGCUGUACGAAACCUAAAGGCGUAAUGAAAGUGAAGGUCUCGCCUUGCGCGGGCCGAGGGAGGAUGGGGCUUCCCCGCCCCUUCGCUGGGGCGGCGGCCUCCGCACUCCCGGGGCGUCUCGUCCUCAUUGCGAGGUGAGGCGCACCUAGAGCGUACACGUUGGGACCCGAAAGAUGGUGAACUAUGCCUGGCCAGGACGAAGUCAGGGGAAACCCUGAUGGAGGUCCGUAGCGAUUCUGACGUGCAAAUCGAUCGUCGGAGCUGGGUAUAGGGGCGAAAGACUAAUCGAACCAUCUAGUAGCUGGUUCCCUCCGAAGUUUCCCUCAGGAUAGCUGGUGCUCGUACGAGUCUCAUCCGGUAAAGCGAAUGAUUAGAGGCCUUGGGGCCGAAACGACCUCAACCUAUUCUCAAACUUUAAAUGGGUGAGAUCUCCGGCUUGCUUGAUAUGCUGAAGCCGCGAGCAAACGACUCGGAUCGGAGUGCCAAGUGGGCCACUUUUGGUAAGCAGAACUGGCGCUGUGGGAUGAACCAAACGCCGAGUUAAGGCGCCCGAAUCGACGCUCAUGGGAAACCAUGAAAGGCGUUGGUUGCUUAAGACAGCAGGACGGUGGCCAUGGAAGUCGGAAUCCGCUAAGGAGUGUGUAACAACUCACCUGCCGAAGCAACUAGCCCUGAAAAUGGAUGGCGCUGAAGCGUCGUGCCUAUACUCGGCCGUCAGUCUGGCAGUCAUGGCCGGUCCUCGCGGCCGGCCGCGAAGCCCUGACGAGUAGGAGGGUCGCGGCGGUGAGCGCAGAAGGGUCUGGGCGUGAGCCUGCCUGGAGCCGCCGUCGGUGCAGAUCUUGGUGGUAGUAGCAAAUACUCCAGCGAGGCCCUGGAGGGCUGACGCGGAGAAGGGUUUCGUGUGAACAGCCGUUGCACACGAGUCAGUCGAUCCUAAGCCCUAGGAGAAAUCCGAUGUCGAUGGGGGCCGUCAUAGCCAGAUGCACUUCUUGCUGGCCCCCGUUGGGCGAAAGGGAAUCCGGUUCCUAUUCCGGAACCCGGCAGCGGAACCGAUACAAGUCGGGCCCCUCUUUUAGAGAUGCUCGUCGGGGUAACCCAAAAGGACCCGGAGACGCCGUCGGGAGAUCGGGGAAGAGUUUUCUUUUCUGCAUGAGCGUUCGAGUUCCCUGGAAUCCUCUAGCAGGGAGAUAGGGUUUGGAACGCGAAGAGCACCGCAGUUGCGGCGGUGUCCCGAUCUUCCCCUCGGACCUUGAAAAUCCGGGAGAGGGCCACGUGGAGGUGUCGCGCCGGUUCGUACCCAUAUCCGCAGCAGGUCUCCAAGGUGAAGAGCCUCUAGUCGAUAGAAUAAU
rnacentral:rRNA from 1 species